rnacentral:tRNA from 1 species
GGGGAUUUAGCUCAGUGGUAGAGCGCUUGCCAAGCAAAUGCAAGGCCCUGGGUUCAGUCCCCA